GGUUGCAUUGUUGAUUCAAGAAAUAAGACUGUUCACCUUUAAGUAUUGUCAGUCACAUUUCUUUAGCUGGGAAGAAUUAAAUUCGGAAGCAGCACACGU